UACAGAGGGCCCAAGCGUUAGGCGGAAUCACUGGGCUUAAAGCGUGUGUAGGCGGACUUCUAAGUACCUUGUGAAAUCCCUCGGCUCAACCGGGGAACUGCGUCUGAUACUGAAAGGCUUGAAUCCGGGAGAGGAAUGCGGAAUUCCAGGUGUAGCGGUGAAAUGCGUAGAUAUCUGGAGGAACACCGGUGGCGAAGGCGGCAUUCUGGACCGGCAUUGACGCUGAGGCGCGAAAGCCAGGGGAGCAAACGGG
rnacentral:rRNA from 1 species